UGCAAUCGUUUUAAUGCGGGCGCAGGGUGGGAGGUUGCGAGUGGGAGGUUGCGAGUGGGUGCUUGGCCGGGGGGUGGAGGUGGGGAGGCGGGUUUGCAAGCCGCGCGUUUGCCUAUUUCUCAACCCUUGGGGGUUUUUUGUAUUUUUUUGGGGGGGUUUUUUGCACCUUGGCUCGGGCUUGUGUACGCUUGACGCGGGGUGGUGCAAGGGCUUUGCACGCCUGUCCGUUGCACGCGGAGGCUUCCCCCCCACCCCCGUGCAAAUCACGCGGAGGCGCGCGUUUUUUUCCUCUUCUUUCUUUUCUCUUGCUCAGGAGAGGGUUUGAUUCAAAAAAAGGCUUGCAGAAAGUUCCCGGGUUUGAAGAGCCGAAUUAAAAUAAAUUAAAAUAAAAUAUAAAAUAAUAAAAUAAAGGCCACCUCUGCCAACCUUGCCGCGCCAGGAAACGAGGGUUUCUCUCUCUUUCUCUGUGUGUGUGUGUGCUUGUGCUUGCAGGGUGCAAUGGGCGUGCAAAACGCUGCCGUGUCCUCCCCCCGUCUCUAUCGCAUCCGAGGGAGAAUUCAAGUUAUUCAUUAUUCCCCCCAACUCCCGCCGGGAGAAAAAGGGGAGUCGGAGCGCUUGGAGGAAGGAAGGAAGGAGCCCUUUACAGAAGCUCGGUGCAAGGUUAAGAAAGACACACCCCACCUCCCCACCCCGCGUGAACGUGCACGCCCCAAAACCACCAUGUUGUGGGAUGAGAAGAGGAGGCUGCCCUGCGCAUCUUUUAAACCCGGCCUUCCGAUAUGGCUUGCGAGUCUUCUGAAUUUGAAAUAUCUAAAGCAAACGUUUGUCGAGGCUAUUUGAAGCUCUAAAAGAAAUUCCUUCCUUCCUUCCUUUUAAAACACGGGACAGUAAUACUGGAAUGCUUCCCUGUGAGUUAAAACUAACAAUGCCUGGUUUUAGGGAGACAUAUAAACUCAUUCUGGAUGCUUCAGGAUUUUUGCCCCAUUUCCCUGCAAACCUAUCGUGAUUGCCCCGUGGAUCCACCUCUUGUCUGUUUGCCAAGCUGCUCAAAAGGAAACUGGGCCCAAAUAAAAAUAAAAAUAAAAUAAAAAUGAUACCGAGGAGACCAUUUGACUUGCCAUAUGCCAAAUAAAAGUGAAAGGCCAUGGGGCGUUUGAAGAGGUUGUGCCCUUAAAAUAUAGAAUUGUAUAGAAUACGAUCCUUGGUUGUGUAAACAAAGGCAUAGAAUGAUAAUAAUAAAAAAAAUAUCAGUACCGCUUAAUAAAGCCUUAGUAAAGC